CCUACGGGAGGCAGCAGUGAGGAAUAUUGGUCAAUGGACGAGAGUCUGAACCAGCCAAGUAGCGUGAAGGAUGACUGCCCUAUGGGUUGUAAACUUCUUUUAUAUGGGAAUAAAACGUUCCACGUGUGGGAUUUUGUAUGUACCAUAUGAAUAAGGAUCGGCUAACUCCGUGCCAGCAGCCGCGGUAAUACGGAGGAUCCGAGCGUUAUCCGGAUUUAUUGGGUUUAAAGGGAGCGUAGGUGGAUUGUUAAGUCAGUUGUGAAAGUUUGCGGCUCAACCGUAAAAUUGCAGUUGAAACUGGCAGUCUUGAGUAGAGUAGAGGUGGGCGGAAUUCGUGGUGUAGCGGUGAAAUGCUUAGAUAUCACGAAGAACUCCGAUUGCGAAGGCAGUUCACUGAACUGCAACUGACACUGAGGCUCGAAAGUGUGGGUAUCAAACAGGAUUAGAUACCCCUGUAGUC
rnacentral:rRNA from 1 species